rnacentral:rRNA from 1 species
GACGAACGCUGGCGGCGUGCUUAACACAUGCAAGUCGAACGGAAAUGCCCUGCUUUUGUGGGGUGCUCGAGUGGCGAACGGGUGAGUAACACGUGAGUAACCUGCCCUUGACUUUGGGAUAACUUCAGGAAACUGGGGCUAAUACCGGAUAGGAGCUCCUGCUUCAUGGUGGGGGUUGGAAAGUUUCGGCGGUUGGGGAUGGACUCGCGGCUUAUCAGCUUGUUGGUGGGGUAGUGGCUUACCAAGGCUUUGACGGGUAGCCGGCCUGAGAGGGUGACCGGCCACAUUGGGACUGAGAUACGGCCCAGACUCCUACGGGAGGCAGCAGUGGGGAAUAUUGCACAAUGGGCGGAAGCCUGAUGCAGCAACGCCGCGUGCGGGAUGACGGCCUUCGGGUUGUAAACCGCUUUCGCCUGUGACGAAGCGUGAGUGACGGUAAUGGGUAAAGAAGCACGGGCUAACUACGUG